rnacentral:rRNA from 1 species
UACAUAGGUGGCGAGCGUUGUCCGGAUUUACUGGGCGUAAAGAGCGCGCAGGCGGUCGUACAAGUCGCGUGUGAAAGCCCCCGGCUCAACUGGGGAGGGUCACGCGAUACUGUUCGACUCGAAGGCAGGAGAGGGUAGUGGAAUUCCCGGUGUAGUGGUGAAAUGCGUAGAUAUCGGGAGGAACACCAGUGGCGAAGGCGACUACCUGGCCUGUUCUUGACGCUGAGGCGCGAAAGCUAGGGUAGCAAACGGG